GUGCAUGCUGCACAGAACAAAAAUUGCAUUCAAAGUUGGAAGACUGAAUUAAUGUGCGUGUAGAAAAUAUGCAUAAAAAAAAACGUGGUGAAAAUUUUGCAAAACCAUAAAAGUUGGUACGGUACAUGUUGGUACGGAAGGAAAAAAAUGAAAAAGUGACCUUAUUACAUAAUUCCAUGUAUGUACUGUGCAUAGGUUGUGAUCCACGUGUGACAGGAAAUUGCUGACCUGGCCUGACCCUCGGUCUCGGAGGGUGAUCCGCUCCAGUACCACGAUCAUCAGUCCUUCUUUUUGGUGCCACCGGACCUUGCCUGCAGGCCGAGAAACGGAUGGACUUGGCGAUCGGGACCGAGUUGUUUAUAUACAUAUAUAUCUCACGCGCAACUAAGCCGCUCAACAACAACGAUAAUAUAAAACCACCGCGCCUUGUGUAAAGAAAAUGUAGGUGCUUGCAAAUGUAGGGUGUGGAAAAAUUAGCUCAGCGGUCAUUGCCCUUGCGGCUGAACACCUAUGCGCACUUAAAUAGACCCACCUGACCGUAUGUCACCUAUUCUCUCCUUCUCUCAGGUUAUUAAAAUUGUUCGAUGCCGACAUUCUAAAAGCCACUUAUGGAAAGAAAAGUAAAUCACAAAAAUCUAGAAAAGAAAAUUUAAUGAAAAAUUAUGGAUAGAAAAAAAAAAUAGAAAAGAAAAUUGUUCAAAAAUAUUAAAUAUUCCUAGACAUUAACUUAGAAAUAGAAGAAGAAAAACAUGGAAUAUAUGCCUAGUUAAUAAUAGAUUCUAAAAGGGUGCAUCAUCGGUCUCAUUGUGUAAAUGGAAGGGUAUUGGUUAAAUACCUCUUCAUCACGCUUCUUGUUAUUUUGCAUAUUUCUACAUUUCUUUAACAGUUUUUAUUGCGAACGUGAAAUUGGGCCCAACGACACCAACAGCUUAAAAACAGUUUAAAAGUCUGUAAGUAGACACACAUAUAUACACAUACACUCCGGGUCAGGAGAAUAGCGUCUACACAGUGAGACAUGCAUGCUUAACCAUAUAUAAAAUUAAUUAUUAUUAACUACAAUCACUAUAAUUAUGCCAUUUAAUUCAUUUAAUUAAUUCAUUCUUACUUUAUAUUUUGAUUAUAUUAUUUUUAUUCAUAUUUGAUCAUUCUCGUGAAUUCCUAGGUAUUAAAUUAGUCCCACAUAUAUAUACACAUGCAGUAAAAAUAGUUUUAAGGGUUAGGGUAGAAAUAAUGGGGGUUACAAACAACCUGAAGUCAUACAAGUCAAAGUAAAAUCAUAACGAUUUAACAUGAAUUUCUAAUCUGACUUUUUGAGGGGUUCCUAAGGCACAUAGGCAGCAGCGGCAGGUUUUGGGUAGAAGCAUAAUGGCAUAUUCUUUUGUUAUUCUACAUGGAGGGUGGGUCAAGAGGGAAGAGCACAACCACCUUGCUCUUCACAGUAGGUAGUGGACCUUAAGUUCCAUUUUCCCUGAGCCUAGCCGGCCAACCUUUAGUAGACAGAGAGUGCUGACGAGACGACACUUCCCGUGUCCGUUACAAGACUCAGCUAUAAGCCUGGACAUUUCGUUAAAAACAGGAGAGGAGAUAGACUAUGCUGUGGAGCUUUUUACAAAUACAAUUCAUAAUGCGAGCUACAGAAACACGAAUCAUGCUCUUAAUCAUCAACAACCAAACCAAUUGUACCUUUCAACCGAACUUCGACAAAAAAUACAAAAUAAAAGGAAUCUGCGAAAACGCUGGCAAGAAACUCACUGCCCUGCUGACAAAAGAUUGUACAGCAAGGCUGCAUCUGAGCUUAGACAACUGCAGUCGAACUUACGCAAUAAAUCUCUAGCUGCGUAUCUGAGAAACUUAGACCCUAAUUCCAGCAACAAUGAAUACAAUCUAUGGAGGGCGACUAAAUACCUAAAGAAACCAGCUAAAAGAAACAUAAAUAUUCGCAAAAGCAACGGAACUUGGUGUAGGUCUAAUAAUGAACAAGCGGAAGCAUUUGCACAACAUCUGCACUCUGUGUUUCAGCCAAACGAUAUAAAUAAUUAUAUAGCAGAGACUGAAGUAGAAAAAAUUCCUUGAGUCACCCUGCCAAAUGAGCUUGCCUAUUAAAAGCAUCAAAUAUGAAGAAGUUGUGACAGAAAUCAAAUACUUGAACAAUAGAAAGCACCAGGCCCUGAUAAAAUAGACGGUAUCACCCUAAAAAGUUUACCUCCAAAAUGCAUUGGGUUUCUCACUCUUAUAUUUAAGGCGAUUCUCAGACUAGACCACUUUCCAAGUCAAUGGAAAUGUGCAGAGAUCAUUAUUAUCCUAAAGCCAAACAAAAUAGAAACGGAAUUGACAUCAUACCGUCC
rnacentral:lncRNA from 1 species